AUUGAACGCUGGCGGCAGGCCUAACACAUGCAAGUCGAGCGGAGCGGCGGACGGGUGCGUAAUGCCUAGGAAUCUGCCUGGGCGUGGGGGAUAACGUCCGGAACCGGGCGCUAAUGCCGCAAACUAUCAGAUUCGCCUAGGUCGGAUUGGCUAGUUGGUGGGGGAAAGGCCUACCAAGGCGACGAUCCGUAACUGGUCUGGGAGGAUGAUCAUUCACACUGGAACUGAGACACGGUCCAGACUCCUACGGGAGGCAGCAGUGGGGAAUAUUGGACAAUGGGCGAAAGCCUGAUCCAGCCAUGCCGCGUGUGUGAAGAAGGUCUUCGGAUUGUAAAGUACUUUAAGUUGGGAGGCGUUACCAACAGAAUAAGCACCGGCUAACUUCGUGCCAGCAGCCGCGGUAAUAC
rnacentral:rRNA from 1 species